AUUGAACGCUGGCGGCAGGCUUAACACAUGCAAGUCGAGCGGGGUGAUGGUGCUUGCACUAUCACUUAGCGGCGGACGGGUGAGUAAUGCUUAGGAAUCUGCCUAUUAGUGGGGGACAACGUCUCGAAAGGGAUGCUAAUACCGCAUACGUCCUACGGGAGAAAGCAGGGGAUCACUUGUGACCUUGCGCUAAUAGAUGAGCCUAAGUCGGAUUAGCUAGUUGGUGGGGUAAAGGCCUACCAAGGCGACGAUCUGUAGCGGGUCUGAGAGGAUGAUCCGCCACACUGGGACUGAGACACGGCCCAGACUCCUACGGGAGGCAGCAGUGGGGAAUAUUGGACGAUGGGGGAACCCUGAUCCAGCCAUGCCGCGUGUGUGAAGAAGGCCUUAUGGUUGUAAAGCACUUUAAGCGAGGAGGAGGCUCUUUUGGUUAAUAUCCAAGAUGAGUGGACGUUACUCGCAGAAUAAGCACCGGCUAACUCUGUGCCAGCCGCCGCGGUAA
rnacentral:rRNA from 1 species